UAGACGAUGCCGCGGCUUGCUGUGACAAAGUGUGGCAUGGAAGCAUCCAACGGGAUUAUGGAGAAGGUAUGACUUACAUUUCAAGGCCCAUGUUUAGUGUGUCAUUGAAAAAUGAGCUAUAUUAACACUGUUUUCAGCAUAUUUUAGGCCACCCAUAUCAAACAAAUAGUGAUAUUUCUGCUUUGGUUCUUUUUCUACCAUAGUGAGGCACUAGUCUUUCCACCGAUACAUGCUGAAAGCCAAUGGCUACUGUAAUAUUAAAAAAAAAAAAAAAAAAAAAAAAAAAAAAAAAAAAUCGAAUUGUUUAAAUUCACACAAUAUCACUUGUCACAUUGUCAUAGCUAUAUGCAUGACAUAAUAUAAGUGUCUGUCGUUCGCUCCCGGGCCGCGCAUGCGCAGAAGACGCAACUAAACACUGUCACGGGCCACACUUUGGCAUGUGACACCGUCAUUAGAGACAACACUGACCUAGUAACUACUUCUAGACAGUAAUACUGUAUUCUGGUUAAUAGUGAAUAUAUAUUACAUAUAUCAAGCUGUAGUUGAUUUAUGUGUACUUCUUAAGGAGAAAGAAGGAUAGAUUAAUGCUUCCUGAAAAGCUUAUUGUAGUGUUAUAAAAGGAAGUAGAGAAAGAAAAAAUGCAAUAUGAAGUUCGGGCAGAAUUUCGAAGCUUGUGGAAACCAGUCAAACCACUCCCUGCUCCCUCGCCACAUCGCCAGGGCCAGGCCGACUGGUUGACCAUUCUAGAAGUAGGAACAGUGACAAGGAGGUGAUGGUGGAGAUCUACGUCACUUUUAUUGCUUUGCUGAGGCUAUUACCUGUAGAGUUCAAAACUGUGUGGUAGAUAGAUGAGAAGAGAAGCUGUGAGAGAAAUAGGGGAGUUGCUGAUCACGUCACGAUGAGGCGGAAGCGGAAAACUAAGGCUUGACUGGCACAGGCUUGACUGGCUCAUUGGAUGUUUCUGAUGUGCAUUCUUGUUUCAAGGAGGAUGAGGGUGGAUGCUGUGGAGAUUCUCUUGGGGACUCUGUCACUGCUUCUAGAUCUGAAAUUUUCCCAAAUUGCUUUAUUAAGUAGGUUGGGUUGGCAUAUGGCCCAUUGAAGCAGUGUUGUAUGAGGCUAUGGAUGUCACAAGAUUGGGUUGCUGCAGCUGUGGUUUAGAGAGUGGUGUACUGGUGGUUGUGAGUAGAGUCUGCUUCUCCAGCUCCAAGCGGUGAAGCUCCCUGCAGAACAUACAAUGAAGGCGAGUGGAAGGCAAGCAACACAGAGCCAGCAGCGGGGCAGAACGAGGAGCGGGACAGACAAGGAAGACAGCCAGCCGAGUGUUUGGUGCGUCGCCAUGGCAACAGUCGCCAUGUGCUAGGUGAGGUACAGUACGUAGUGAUGGUGCCACGGUACGUGCGCAAGGUUUGACUGUCUGUCGGUGUGCGGGGUGUUGUAGCUAUCUGUGUGUGUGUGUGUGUGU